GACGAACGCUGGCGGCGUGCUUAACACAUGCAAGUCGAACGGAAAGGCCCUGCUUUUGUGGGGUGCUCGAGUGGCGAACGGGUGAGUAACACGUGAGUAACCUGCCCUUGACUUUGGGAUAACUUCAGGAAACUGGGGCUAAUACCGGAUAGGAGCUCCUGCUGCAUGGUGGGGGUUGGAAAGUUUCGGCGGUUGGGGAUGGACGGGCGGCUUAUCAGCUUGUUGGUGGGGGAGUGGCUUACCAAGGCUUUGACGGGUAGCCGGCCUGAGAGGGUGACCGGGCACCUGGCUACUGCGGGACGGACCAGAGUCCUACGGGGGGCAGCGGUGGGGAGUCUUGCACAAUGGGAGGAAGCCUGAUGAGGCAGCGCCGCGUGCGUGAUGACGGUUUUCGGGUUGUAAAACGCUUUAGGCUGUGACGAAGCGUGAGUGACGGUAAUGGAUAAAGAAGCACCGGCUAACUACGUG
rnacentral:rRNA from 1 species